CUCACAUUUUAUUUUUUGGGGCUUAUUUAUAGUUUUUUUACCCAUUGGGGCUUAUUUUACCCAUUGGGCAAUUUUUACAAAAUGUUUUAUUAACUUUUCUAUCUACUAAAAUAUAUGGUGCUAUUCUCUUAAAAGUUUGCUCAGAGGGAUGGCCAAGCCUUCUGUGCCACAUAUCUUCAGAUAAAUCCAGUCUAUAGCACUGAUGUUGAUGAAGAUCUGGGGCAAAAUGAUACAAUCCUUUGGUACUAAUCCCAGUAAACAAAAUUUCCUUUGUUUCCACAUCCUUCACCAUAAAAUCAUUUUUAUUAAAAAUAAUAGAAACAUUCAUAUCUGAUGCUAAUUUUUGAGCAGAAAUAAGUGUUUUAUUUUACUGAGACACACAUAAUACCUGAGUUAUUCUAAAUUUUCUCCAUUGAUAUAAAAAAUUAUUAAACCUAUUCUAGAAAUUGGUAUUAAAUUUCCAUUUCCUACUCUAACAAUAGACUUACCAGAAUAUGGUUCACUUUCAGAAUACAAAGCUUCUUCUGAAGUCAUAUGAGUAGAUGCACCUGAGUCCAAGCACCAAUCCAUGUUGUAUAGCUCACUCGAGUAUGCGGGUUGAACCUCAACAUUAUUAAUAUAUAGUAAACUCUUCUUCAACCUCAUCAUCAGGUUCACCAUCUGAUAACCCACCUUGUGUAUCUACCACAUAAGCUGAAAAAUUUCCUCUUUUUGGACAGUUUUUAGCUAAAUGUCCAUGUUUGUCACAAAUUUGACAAUCAUGAUUAGUAUUUAAAGAUUCAGACAAUUUAAGUAGAGGAGGUUUAUUAUUUUUUGCCAAAGCUUUAGGAACAAUCACUGAUUUUACCUCAUUACCAGAUUUGCCUUUGUACGCAUAAGGCUUGCCUUUAUAACCUCUGUUAAACCUAUAGGCAUAAUUUGCAGAAAAAUCCUCUAAGCUUUGUUUUGCAUCCACUUUUCUAAUCAUAGCAUCUUCUUUUGUUAACCAAUCAGCAAGUUGAUCAAAAGUAUAUAAGU
rnacentral:lncRNA from 1 species